ensembl:lncRNA
CAGAAUGUAUUUUCUUUCUUCUCAAAAUAUGAAAUCUAAAUCUUAAAUUUUCUUCAAGGAUUUUAUGUCUCCAGAAGCUCAAGUUACUGGGUUAGUACAGUCAAGAAAACAGAGAUCAGCUCUGACGCUUCUUUUUAAGUUGUCAUCUCAGAUGUAGUCAUAAAGUAUGGUUGACAAAAUGAGGUGAAAAGAAAUGUCUGAGGAGAGAAAAUUGCAUUCUCUAAAUCAGCAGUGUUUAAACUUCCACAUAGUUCUUCAAUUUAAAAAGUUUUUCCACUAAAGACACAGACAGAAAUUUACAACUAAAUGCAGAACCGUCCCUGGAAGGAACAAAGCAUAUGGCACUGGUUGACUGGAAGACAGAAGGGAGCAAGUUGUUCUUUAACCUCAUGAUAAGGUUGAGUUAUAGUUCAUUAUUUUAGGAAUACAGUUUUGAUUCUCUCUGUUCAAGAGAGAUGUUGAAAAAUUGGACAGGGUUCUGAAAGGCAACAGUUAUGACUGGAGAUGUAGAGAAACUGACAUAAGAAGAAACACUGAGAGAAUUCUGGCUGCCAAACCUACAGAAUAGAAGCAUGAGGGAUCUACAGCUCUCCAGGUCUCAAAUCCAGAAGUCCAAUGUGAUAGCUGCAGGGAGAUGAGAGAAGAGAGUGAAACAGAAGACUUCACUUUUGUCUUCUCAGCCUUCCCAUUCCUGAAAAUGUUUUAUCCUAAUCAGAAAGAAAAGAAGUGCCUAGAGCUGUUCCUAUUUAAAUCGGCAGUGUUACUGAAGGAAAGAGCAGCAUUUGACCAAAUGCAUGCCAAAAACAUGAUAUUUAUGAAAUACUACCAUAACACUGGAGUGUUACUCUAUGGAGAUAAAUAUUUAAAUUUUAAGAGCUAUUGUUCUCAGAGGUGCUAUUGUGGGCAGGAAUUGAAUGAUAUGAGUCUCAGAGAUGUGAAGUGUAACUCAACUGUCAUUACGUUUCAUUCUCCAUUUAAGAUCAAAAUACAUUUUAGAUUGCCUGUAACCUGCACACUCAUGCAACUCUAAGUUCAGAUGCAUCUUAAAAUCUUUAGCACAGAGAAGAAUUUUCUCACUACAGAACACGAAGAAAAAACAUGUCGUUGAAAUGAUUGCUUUUCAUAUAGUAACAAUAUUUUAAAUUUGUCUUGUUAUUUCAGUCUGUAUAGUUUUUCUAUUCAAAGGAAGUAUAAAGAAAAAUAUAACCUAUGCUGAACAUGAUUUAAGCAGUCUUCAGAGACAAUUUGCUUUAACAAAGACAUGCUUAAAUAUGAGUUUCUUGUAGGCUGGUCAAUGGAUGCAAUUAUCUUUUGUCUUUGAGUAUGUAAUAAGAACACUACCCACGCUCUACAGAAAUGUUACUGGAAGGGAGUAGAAAUGUUUGAAUUUACCUCAUGCAUUUUGUCUCAGAAUUAUAAAGACAAAAACAGUCUUUAAGUGGUCCAUAUUUGAAAAGUUUUGUUUUAAAAGCCUUGAGCACCACAUAAAAAGGACAAUGUUCAUGACAUCAAUGAAUGAUAUGGCCUUCUUUAUUUAUUUAUUAUUCUUAAAUGGUUCUAGAGCACUAAAGAAAUAAUGGGACUUUGAAGCAAAAUGUGUCUUGUAAGGGACCUGUACAUGCAAAACUAAUUAAUUAAUUAAUUAAGAGUUACACUUCUGAUCUGGGUUCUUCAAUUAAGUGCUUAAAAUCAUAAUCCAGACUAGAUUUAGUUGUUGACUCCCUUAGUAGCUGCUAGUUUUACUGUUAGAGAGAAUUCCUGAGACACUUCAAUCAUUAGGGAUGUUACAGCAGCAGUAUUUGUUCAUACAUUUAAAGAUAGAAUGUGUUCUUAGAAAUAGUUAUGCUUGUGAUUCACUAUAUACAGCUGACUCAACUGAGAUAUCCAAGUACUAAAGUGUUUGCAGAAUACUAACUGUUUGUACUGUAAUUAAGUUGUUUGGAACACCCUGCACCCUUUGACAUCUACAAAAUAUAGGAAAUAAUAUUGAGGAUAAUAAUUACAGCAUGAAAAGUAGAUAUUUUAAAAUAAAUAGGGAAAAAAAAGUACAAGCAAUGCAUGUAAGAACUCUGUUUGCGUGUUUUAUUUCAUUUAUUUAUUUUAUUUUAUUGAUUUUCUGUAUAGCAGAAAAUCUGAUUUUUUUUAAAUGUGGGUCCAUAUUUUCAUUGAACUCCAGUUUCUCCUUACCACCUCAGAGAAAUUGUCAUAUUCAAGUGUCCUUUAAUGUCUAAGUGUCCUUUAAUAUUUUAAUAAUUAUCCAAUAGAUAAUAAUGUAAUAAGUAUCCAAUAAAAAUAAUGCAGAUAUAUGAAUAAUCCUGCGUGAAAGUAUGUUAUUGUGUGAAAUGAUAAUUUUUCAGUAUAAUUUUACAUGUGCAAUGCAUCAAAAAUUCUAGUUCAUGUAAUAAGAAACAUUAAAGAGAAAAUUUUCUAAAAAUAAGAAAAUAAGUGUUCUAGUAUUGGCAUAUUCAAGAAUCAGUCUGAGGCUGGAAAGUUUACAUAUACACACACAAUAUAUAUAUUGUUUUUCCUAUGAAAAAUGUCUCACCACUAACUCACUCUAAUUUUAAUAACUUACAGCAGGAAAAAAAAAAGAAAAAAGCAUUGUUGCAUAGAUGCACUCUAGUGAAUAUUAUUGCUGUCAUUACUAAUCAAAGCCUACAGGCUUUGUACAGACCUGACAUAACAGGCUCUUGAGGCUGGUCUCGACUUGCUUUGUGUUAGGGUUUAAUCCAAGCAGGCAGCUCAGCUCCACACAGCCACUUGUUCAUCCUCCCCAUGAGAGAAUUAAGAAGGUAAAUGUGUGAGAACUUGUGGACAGAGAUAAAGAUAGUUUACAAAGCAGAGUAAAAGCUGUGUACACAAGCAAAACAAGAAUUCUUCUGCUACUUCCUAUUGGCAGGCAGAUGCUUAGCCACUCACAGGAAAACAGAAGAAAAAAAAAAAAAGCAGGAAAACAUGCAUUACAUUAGCACUUCAAAUGCCCCACCCAUCCCCUUUUCCUUCUUUAUCCUGGCUUUUAUUGCUUUAUUGAUGACCACACCAUUGUAUGAAAUAUCCCUCUGGCCAGUUUGGAUCAGUUGUCCUGUCCUCUUCCCCAGCUACUUAUUCACCCAUGGCUCCUCUCUGGUAGAGCAGCAGAGAAGUGGAAAAUUCUUUGUCUUAGUGUAAGCAUUACUCAGCAACAACUAAAACAUCAGUGUAUUAUCAUCAGUAUCAUUAUCAAAAAUAUAAAACACAGUAUCAUGUGUACCUCUAUAAAGAAAAUUAACUCUAUCCCAGCCAAAACCAUGACACCUUGGCCUGAGCUUUGAGUAAUGAUCUGUAAGCCAAGUGACUACCUCAUGAGCUUGAACUGAAGCUCUGUGUAUGCCUUCCAUGGUCAACUCUCAUCAGUCGUGGGAGUCACGGCUCAGCAAGCGAUUGCUCUUUCAUCCUAUUGAGGCUGGCUGUUCAACUGCCUUCAGACUUGAGCUGCGAACCAGUGAGCAGGAAGCAGAGUGAUGAGAAAGGACAUAGAAAUGACCCUGCACUGGGACCUACAGAUUCAGGAGAAAGGAGGGACCUCCUGCCGUGAACGCUGACCACUCCUGCUGAGUCCUGAGGCUGCUGACAACUUGCUGAGCCUGUUAUGUCCAGGAACAGCCACCUCCAUUGGCUUUAGGUCCUGGAGGACCACAGGAUGGAAGAGCACAGCUUAAGGGAAAAGGGGUAGAUAUUAUUAAGUCUUGUAUGAUAAUUUAAGGGUAUUGCUCUCAUCAAGUUUUUUUGUGUUUUUGUUUUGUUUUGUUUCAUUUUUGGGGGGUGUGUAAUUUUUGGUAGUAAUUUAUGUUACAAAUACUUGAUUAUACACCUCAUGGAAUUAAACAUAACUCAUUGCUGUGUUUUGAUUAGAUUUUGAGUUAGACUCCCAAUAAAUAAUUCUUGCCUUCACGUGCAAAAUUUGUUCCAUUUUUGCCAAUAACAGGAUUUUGAGUCUAACACAUUAUACUAAAUUCACUAACCUUUUCAUAGAAGCAUUUCAGCAUUUUUGUAAAAUUAUUCUAGGAAGAUUUAGCCCAAGGCAGAAAGCUGGCAUAAAACUUUGACCUAAAUAGCUUGUUACUCAUAGCUUUUGUUCCUCAGAAUAAGUCUUUACAGUGAAAUUUCAGGUCAACCUUUAAAACAAGUCGCUCCAUAUAGUACAAAGUACAUAUAGGCAAAAGCAAAAUAUAAUUCUUUUCCUGCAGAUGAUACUAAGAGAGUGAUAGAGUUUAUCCAGUUGUGCAAGAGAAUAUAAAUAUAAAUAUGUAUAUUAAAAAAAUGAAUAAAGGAAGAGAAAAAUUACUUUAAGAAGUGUAUACAUUCUGACUCUGCUAGAAUUAUUAAAUAAUGAAUUUUAUUUAUAAAUUAAAUAUAAUUUUGUUUUUGUGUAUACACAGAAAACCACUUUUGUUCUAUUGUAUGACAUUAAUAUACAUCUAUCCAACAACAAAAGAGUGUUUUGAAAUAUUUUGAAAUGUCUGAUAGAAUAGUUAGCACUGUUUUCCCCUGUAAAUUAGAAAAGAAUGAAUUGUAAAACUAGUUUGAUAUAAAGGAAUGCUUUUCACAACUGUCUAGCUUAUUACUUAAAAACAAACAAACAAACAAACGAGGUAGUUAAGACAAUAAAGAUAAAUAGAAUUUAGUAUUUGAAUUCAUUAUCUGUCACGCUUCUGUGUAAAGUUCAUUAGACUUCCUUCUCUUAUUGAGAAUUAUUCUAGUUAGUACACACUUUUCUUCUUGAGAAGUACAUAGGUUGCAACAGCCAGAGCUAAGCAGACAAUGAACUAAUUAACAGAGUCGCAGUGUUAACGGUAGGUUGGGAAUAGAUCCCAGCCAUAAUAUGUGAUGGAUCUGAGUUACAUUUCUUGCUUAAAAAAGAAAUUUCUUGUGCCUCCUCACAAAAAAAUAAAAUAAAAUAUGCACACAAAAAAAGUGAACUAUAAC